rnacentral:rRNA from 1 species
AUGAUGGGGACUCUAAAAGAACUGCCUACGCAAGUAGUGAGGAAGGUGGGGAUGACGUCAAAUCAGCACGGCCCUUAUGUCCAGGGCGACACACGUGCUACAAUGGCCGAUACAAAGGGCAGCUACCGGGCGACCGGAUGCGAAUCUUUAAAAUCGGUCUCAGUUCGGA